ACUUUCAACAACGGAUCUCUUGGUUCUGGCAUCGAUGAAGAACGCAGCGAAAUGCGAUAAGUAAUGUGAAUUGCAGAAUUCAGUGAACCAUCGAAUCUUUGAACGCACAUUGCGCCCGCCAGCACUCUGGCGGGCAUGCCUGUCCGAGCGUCGUCUCA
rnacentral:rRNA from 1 species